GGCGGAUGUAGCCAAGUGGAUCAAGGCAGUGGAUUGUGAAUCCACCAUGCGCGAAGGGCGAAUUCGCGGCCGCUAAAUU
rnacentral:tRNA from 7 species